ensembl:lncRNA
AACCCCUCCCCCUUAACAGAUACACAGCUCAUAGUAGAGAUGGAGGUUCUUGCAACCAAUUCUUCAUUUGACCUGUGUGUGUGUGUGUGUGUGUGUGUGUGUGUGUGUGUGUGUGUCUCAGUGUGGCUCUAGGCUUUGGGCCCGUCAUCUAGACGGUAACGUUUCCAUGGAACCAUCCCCUCUAGGUAAAUCUCCCGAACUUCAGGCUACAAAUAGUUCUGCAAUUUCAUAUGCACAUAAAAUGGGCCUGAAGAACACACACACACACACACACACACACACACACACACACACACACACACAACUCACAAUCUAUUAUAGACACACACAACUCACAAUCUAUUAUACACACACACACACAAACUCACCACAUACCACGCACAGUACUGUUACAGAUUGAGAAACCCGUUGUUACUCUGAGAUAAAUAUCUAUUGACCUGACAAAUAAGUCAUUUUAUAGAAAGACUUCAAUAAUAUAUGGUUCGGUCUUAACCCAAAUGUAUGACAUAAGUAUUAUGUGAAACAUAUGUAGCUUGUGUAAUGCAAAAUAACAAUUCCUAAUACAUAUGGGCUGCAGGUAGCCUAGUGGUUAGAGUGGGGGAGGCAGGUAGCCUAGUGGUUAGAGUGGGGGAGGCAGGUAGCCUAGUGGUUAGAGUGUAGGGGAGGCAGGGCAGCCUAGUGGUUAGAGUGUGGGGGCGGCAGGUAGCCUAGUGGUUAGAGUGUUGGGCCAGUGACCUGAAAGUAGUUAGUAUAUAUACAGUAGUUAGUAUAUUCAGAUAGCUAGGUGAGACAACCACAUAUCACAGUAGUUAGUAUAUUCAGAUAUCUUCAGACCCAUCCCCAGUGCCCAGUCCACAGUCCUAUUCCCCAAUCCAUUACCUCAGCAGUACCAGUCAGUCCAUUACCUCAGCAGUACCAGUCAG